GAGCUGUGAUGAACUUAGCGCACGUGUGACGCAUAGGUGCUGUCACUUAAUCUAAUUACAGAUGAAGCAUGCGCUGCUGAGCUC